UCUGUGCCAUGGCGACUCUCUGAAAUAAACAGAGAAAAAGAAAGAAACCAGAGGAAGAAAUAAGGAGAGAGAGAGAGAGAAAUAUUCAGAAGGGAGGAGGAGGAGGCUGCUUUAACAGAGUCACAGUUGGAGAGUCAGUCUGCAGGAGAGUCCUGGAAGAAGUUCAAGUCCUGGAGAAAGCCAGUGGGCAGUUUGGAAGGGAGGGAGAGUCUCUCUGAAGACACAGUUGGAGAACCAGAGUUGAGGAAUUACUAGCACAGGCUGAGAGAUCCACUGCUAUGGCUGGAACAAGAGCUGUAAUCACAAGAAGAGCCAGGUUGGGUUGAACCCCAGGCCCCAGCUGUCACCCGGAAAAGGGACUGCACAAGAAGCAGUUGCUGAGAAGGAACCCAUGAAGCUGCUUCAAACCGCUGGUCCAUCUAGCUCAGUACAGUAUUGUCUCUUGGCAGUGGCUCUUCAAGGAUUCAGGGCAUCAGAUUUCUUCUUUUCCAGACUCUGCUUCAGUUUGAGAGAAGAAUCUCUCCUGGACAAGAGUUCAGGAUUGAAGCCAGAGAACCCACCACUUGCUACUGUACGCUUCCCUGGAAAUAAAGACAAACAGGUGUAGAUUGCUGACUAAAGCCACAAACUGAAGUAGUUGUCCAAUAAUGUAACAGCAUGUAUGUGCACCUGAAGCUUCAGAGCAAUCACUUUUUCCAGAACCUCUCUGAAAAGGCAAAGACUGAAAAUGGGUGAAUAUUUAUUUAUCUACAAUUUUUAUAUGCUGCCUUUCUUUUGAGAAACUCAAGAUGGCAAAAAUUAAAAACCAUAUGCAAUAUGCAACAAUAAGAGUGUGUUUUGGCCAAGAAUAAUUUGUUGUAUUUGAUUUUAAAAGAGUGGCUGAAUGGAACCUGUGAACAGUUUUGGAACAUGUGAUGCGGCAGUAUUGCUGAACCUAAGUACUUGUGAACCAGAUUAGUCCUUUGGAUGGAAGACCCCAUGUAAAAGAGGAAUGUGUGUGUGUGUGUGUGUGUGUGUGUGUGUGUGUGUGUGUGUGUGUUUUAAAAGAGCCCCUCUUCUAGAAAUUAUGGAUUUCUGAAAGACUGCAGAUUGGAUCAACCUGCCUUCUUGAAAAGGUUGAUCUAAUUGCUAUUAAAAAUGCCAGCUUCUCAUGGAGCAGACGGAUGGAACAGUGAAGAUUGGAUCUGAAUUGCAUUGAUUGUUCUGAAUGUGAGUGAGUGCAGUAGGAGGAAAGGACGGUGUUUCUUUUGGGUAGGAUGCUGCAUGAGUUGUCUGUAAGCCCUUCCAAUACUACAAUAAAAAAACAAGAGCACCUGGAUGACUGAUAUAUUUAUACAUGUCUAACUAGAAAGAGGUUUUCUGUUAAAACCCAUGGUUUGUAUUUGGCUGCCACAUCAAUCCUUCAUAGGUAUAACUCUACAUAAAUAUAGAUAUAGAUAUAAGAUAGAGAUAUAAACACACUGGCUGUUAGAAUGGUAUUAAUGCAGGAGACCCUAAAAGCAAACUUACUUUUUUCAGUAUUAAGCAAAAUCAUGACCUUAAAAAAGGAAACUGUUUUUAUUAUGUUAGUUGUAUGUGAGUUUCAAUAGGAAGCAAGGUUUCAUUGCUCUUAGCUUCUGGGGUCAAUCUUCCAGACCCAG